UUUUAAACGUUAUCAAUGGAUGGUUGAAAGAAAGAUUGAGAAAGAACAAGGACGACAAGUCCAAAGAUGAUAUCCACCAAGCCAGCAUAAAUAACAACUUACAAACUGGAGAUAGAAUGAAUGUGCCCCAGUUUCAUCACUUAUACCAUCGAAAUCUAAGGGACACCUUAUACGACGAAAAGGCCAACUUAUAGGAAGACCCAACAGAUUUUAAAGCAAGAACAUCAUACUUCAGUUCAUAUAAAACAUUGAAUAGAUGCUUCCUAGAUCUUGUUUAGCUUUUCUGCUACAACAACAGGAUUUGCUUUAGCAAUAGCAUCCCGUCCAGCAUUCUUAUAGUCAAAUGGGCACUCGUGCUUGUCAGAAUAACGGUGAGCCGCACAGAAAAGAUUCCCACACUUGCAAUUGAAUCCUGUCAAGCCAACACGCUUGCGGCAAGUAGUGCACCUAGUUGGGCCCUCUUUUGGCUUCACCUCUGAACUUGGACCUGAAGAUAAAUCAGAAGAUGCUUCUGUAGAGAUAACCUUCAAGUCUGCUGAUCCCGGUUGAACAUUGAUUGCACCAGUCGCAAUAGGCUCUUUGCCAUUGCUGCUUGAGUUUCCAUUUACUAUGUUUUCAAUUGAUGUUGCUGCAAAUUUAGCUUGUUCCUGCUUCAGUAUCAUGUCCUUGUGACACUUGGAACACAUAUUCAUAGUGGCUGCACUACCAAAGAACCCGCAGUUGUUGAUGCAAAGGAUGGGACCUUCGGGAGCUUGGCAGCCUGUUUCUUUGGAAGACUCCAUUUUGUGCAGCAGUUAACCUGAAUCGAAGAAUCGAAAGGCGAAGAAAAGAGGGCGAAAUUGAGAAAAAUUGGAGAGAGACCUGAAAAGAGAGGAAGAAAGAGAAAAUGGG
rnacentral:misc_RNA from 1 species